GGUUCUUUAGCGUGUCACACCUACUGUGACUCGGGACAUCUGUUUUAAGGUCAUCUCCGAGGACCUAUGACAUUCACACUUGAUGCCGAGCAUUUGAUGAUGGAACUGUCACUACCUAUUAAUAAUUUUAACGACUUAGGUCUGUCACAGCCGGGAUUUGAACCCCAGCCUCCCGCAUGCGGGGUGAACGUCCAACCUCUCAGCAACCGUGAGGAUAUCAAGCUGCCUUCUUUUGACAAAUUCAUGAGGAUUUUGAUUUGCUCAAACUUUUUUUUACUAGUACCUGUCUGAUUUCUGGUCAUUCCAGCUCUCAUUGUCACUUUGGUUUUUCAGCUCCCUGGGCCUCUUGAGAUGGUGACACCCUGCAGUAGGAGCAGUUCCUAUCGGUAUCUCUUAAAAGCAGACAGAGGUUCUCAUAGCAUCUGAUCCAUUGCUGGGGACAAACUUUUGUAUGGAGCUGGGUAGCAGUUACUUGAGAUGUCCGGCUGAUUGAUGAGGACUCUAACAUUUUGUAGGACUUGGAUAGCUCUAUUGCUGUAAAAAUUGUCAGGACGGUGGAGAUUUAGAUAAGUGGUGUGAUGUUAUUGAUGGUAAACAGAAGACGGUGACCUUGAAUCUGAAGAUCUGUGAUGAAGACCGGAUGUUUGGGGUCACUCUCUGUUACAGUACUACAAAUCUAAGUAAGUACUCAGUAAUAAUGUAAGACUGAACUCUGUAU